rnacentral:ncRNA from 2 species
CUAUACCCCGGGAAUGAGGUCUCCCGUGGUAGUGAACAUGUUACCAGAACCGCUUAUUACAGCUGAUGGCUUCUGCAUUGUG